GUCGAUCCUGCCGGAGGUCACUGCUAUUGGGAUUCGACUAAGCCAUGCGAGUCGAAUGUAGCAAUACAUGGCGUACUGCUCAGUAACACGUGGACAACCUACCCUUAGGUCGGGGAUAAACCCGGGAAACUGGGUAUAAUACCCGAUAGAUCUCGACUGCUGGAAUGCAUCGAGAUCGAAAGCUCCGGCGCCUAAGGAUGGGUCUGCGGCCUAUCAGGUAGUAGUGGGUGUAGCGUACCUACUAGCCUACGACGGGUACGGGUUGUGAGAGCAAGAGCCCGGAGAUGGAUUCUGAGACACGAAUCCAGGCCCUACGGGGUGCAGCAGGCGCGAAAACUUUACAAUGCUGGAAACAGCGAUAAGGGGACCUCGAGUGCCAGGUUACAAAUCUGGCUGUCGUGAUGCCUAAAAAGCAUUGCAUAGCAAGGGCCGGGCAAGACCGGUGCCAGCCGCCGCGGUAACACCGGCGGCUCGAGUGGUAACCGUUAUUAUUGGGUCUAAAGGGUCUGUAGCCGGCCGGAUAAGUCUCUUGGGAAAUCCAGCAGCUCAACUGUUGGGCUUUCAGGAGAUACUGUCUGGCUCGAGGCCGGGAGAGGUGAGAGGUACUUCAGGGGUAGGGGUGAAAUCUUGUAAUCCUUGAAGGACCACCAGUGGCGAAGGCGUCUCACCAGAACGGACCUGACGGCAAGGGACGAAAGCUAGGGGCACGAACCGGAUUAGAUACCCGGGUAGUCCUAGCCGUAAACGAUACUCGCUAGGUGUCGGCCACGGUGCGACCGUUGUCGGUGCCGUAGGGAAGCCGUGAAGCGAGCCACCUGGGAAGUACGGCCGCAAGGCUGAAACUUAAAGGAAUUGGCGGGGGAGCACCACAAC
rnacentral:rRNA from 1 species